UAGACAUAUUAUUGUAUUCGACUGUAUUCACGGAGUGAAAUAAGGGAUUACACUACUUUAAAUGGAAAGUGUAUCAAUUAACAUAAUAGACUCCU
rnacentral:pre_miRNA from 1 species